rnacentral:rRNA from 1 species
CAGUCGCCGCGGUAAAACGUAGGGUGCAAGCGUUAAUCGGAAUUACUGGGCGUAAAGCGUGCGCAGGCGGUUAUAUAAAACAGAUGUGAAAUCCCCGGGCUCAACCUGGGAACUGCAUUUGUGACUGUAUAGCUAGAGUACGGCAGAGGGGGAUGGAAUUCCGCGUGUAGCAGUGAAAUGCGUAGAUAUGCGGAGGAACACCGAUGGCGAAGGCAAUCCCCUGGGCCUGUACUGACGCUCAUGCACGAAAGCGUGGGGAGCAAACAGGAUUAGAUACCCGGGUAGUCCCUGUCUCUUAUAA